UCAAUGUGUACCGAAGUGAUGUUGGUGAAUACGGGUAUUUCUGUUACGUGCGAGAACUCAAUUCUGAGUUAACAGAGGGGGUAGCGAGUGAGUAUAGCUAUUAUCAUUGGCACACAU
rfam:Yersinia mollaretii ATCC 43969 contig00026, whole genome shotgun sequence.